AUUUAGGCGGUAAAGGUGGCUUUAAUUUCUAGUUUGCAUUAUACCGUGAGCCAAGCCCAGCCGAAGCUUCAAGAAAAUUCCUCGUUCUUUUGUGGCCCGUCAUGCUGUACUAGGGUUCGUUAUUCCGUGGCAUACAGAUGACUAAGCCUCUACGACGAGCCCGUUGCAAGUGGCCUUCAGGGGGUACAACAUCUGAUCACCAGAAUUGCGCGCGAUUGAAAUUGACCCUACAGAUCCACCCAAGGUCACAGAUGUCACAGCAACUGAAAGAAGGAUUUCGUCAGCUAAACGAUCUCAAUGCAGCACCAGACCUAGCCUUACAAGAUUUAGACGAGGAAUGCGCAGGUUAACAGGGAACAUGGGAGUUAAAAAAUGUACAAGACUGAACUGGUGGGCCUUUCUGCACAGGAUUUUCGGAAAAAUCCAUCCAAUUCGAGUUUUUGCUCUCCCGUUUUUGAAGUAAGUCUUGAAUUCCAGUCCGAGACUCCUGACUCACGGAAAGGAAAUCAUGCUGGUUGAAUGCAGUCCGACGGUUGUCGGAAAAGAGGGCUCAGACUAUUGUUUUCUUCUCAUUGUCUAACUCCUCGAAUAAAAAAAGAUUAACGAUUUAUUAUAAAUAAAAUUUAUAGUUCAGUUAAUUGA